rnacentral:rRNA from 1 species
GAGCGGCGCAAGGGUGCGUAACAUGUGGGUAAUCUGCCGUGAAGCCUGGGAUAACUCGCUGAAAGGCGAGCUAAUACCGGAUGUGACUGUUAAGAGGCAUCUCUUGACUUUCGAAGUUGGGGACCGCAAGGCCUGACACUUUACGAUGAGCCCGCAGCCUAUCAGCUUGUUGGUGAGGUAACGGCUUACCAAGGCUAAGACGGGUAGCUGGUCUGAGAGGACGACCAGCCACACUGGAACUGAGACACGGUCCAGACACCUACGGGUGGCGGCAGUCGAGAAUUUUUCACAAUGGGCGCAAGCCUGAUGGAGCGACGCCGCGUGGGGGAUGAAGGGUUUCGAUCCGUAAACCCCUGUCAUUUGUGAACAAUGCUCGCAACCUAACACGUUGUGAGUUGAUAGUAGCGAAAGAGGAAGGGACGGCUAACUCUGUGCCAGCAGCCGCGGUAAUACAGAGGUCCCAAGCGUUGUUCGGAUUUACUGGGCGUAAAGGGUGCGUAGGUGGCAGGGUAAGUCUGAUGUGAAAUCUCCGGGCCUAACUCGGAAAUGGCAUUGGAAACUACCUUGCUUGAGGGUCGGAAGGGAGACUGGAAUGCUUGGUGUAGCAGUGAAAUGCGUAGAUAUCAAGCGGAACACCAGUGGCGAAGGCGAGUCUCUGGACAACUCCUGACGCUGAGGCACGAAAGCCAGGGGAGCAAACAGGAUUAGAUACCCUGGUAGUCCUGGCUGUAAACGGUGCAUGUUUGCUGUAAAAGGAAUCGACCCCUUUUGUGGCGAAGCUAACGCGUUAAACGUGCCGCCUGGGGAGUACGGUCGCAAGAUUAAAACUCAAAGAAAUUGACGGGGGCCUGCACAAGCGGUGGAGUAUGUGGCUUAAUUCGAUGCAGCAACGGGAAGAACCUUAACUGGCCUUUACAUGUUCGUAGUAUAAGGGUAAAAUCCCGAGGAGGUAGCAAUUCCAGAAUACACAGCUGAUGCAUGGUGGUGGUCAGCUGUGUGCAUGAGAUGUUGUGUUAAGUCGGGCAAAAGCGCAACCAUUGUGUCCCUUGCCACCAGAACGAGAGUUCGGAGCAUUCUGGGCAGGGUGCCUCGUUCAAACGAGGAGGAAAGUGGGGAUGACGUCAAGUCAGUAUGGCCCUUACGGGCUAGGGUUCCCCAGUUCUUCAAAUGCCGGUUCCAAAGGAAGCAAAACCCUCAAGGGGAACAAAUUCUCUGAAACCGGGUCCAAUUCAGAAUGUCAUUUGCAAAUUGGAGACCAGAAACUGGAAUUCCUUGGAAAUGCGCAUCAAGCAUGGCGCCGUGAAUACGUUCCCAGGCCUUGUACACACCGCCCGUCACAUCAUGGGAGCCGGUUUCACCAGAAAGUCGCCGCCUAACCGCAAGGAGGCA